GAUGAAGAACGUAGCGAAAUGCGAUAAGUAAUGUGAAUUGCAGAAUUCAGUGAAUCAUCGAAUCUUUGAACGCACCUUGCGCCCUUUGGCUAUUCCGAAGGGCAUGCCUGUUUGAGUAUCAUGAACACCUCAACUCUCAUGGUUUGCCAUGAUGAGCUUGGACUUUGGGGGUCUUGCCGGCCUAUGGUCGGCUCCUCUAAAAUAAAUCAGCUUACCGGUGUUUGGUGGGUAUCAUGGGUGUGAUAACUAUCUACGCUUGUGGUUUUUCCACCAGGUAACCUUCGACAGCGGAGGUUCACUGGAGCUCAUAGAUGUCUCUCCUCAGCGAGGACAGCCCUUUGAAUGUUUGAUCUCAAAUCAGGUAGGACUACCCGCUGAACUUAAGCAUAUCAAUAAGCGGAGGA
rnacentral:misc_RNA from 1 species